GAUGAACGCUGGCGGCGUGCCUAAUACAUGCAAGUCGAGCGAAUGGAUUAAGAGCUUGCUCUUAUGAAGUUAGCGGCGGACGGGUGAGUAACACGUGGGUAACCUGCCCAUAAGACUGGGAUAACUCCGGGAAACCGGGGCUAAUACCGGAUAACAUUUUGAACCGCAUGGUUCGAAAUUGAAAGGCGGCUUAGGCUGUCGCUUAUGAAUGGACCCGCGUCGCCUUAGCCAGUUGGUGAGGUAACGGCUCACCAAGGCAACGAUGCGUAGCCGACCUGAGAGGGUGAUCGGCCACACUGGGACUGAGACACGGCCCAGACUCCUACGGGAGGCAGCAGUAGGGAAUCUUCCGCAAUGGACGAAAGUCUGACGGAGCAACGCCGCGUGAGUGAUGAAGGCUUUCGGGUCGUAAAACUCUGUUGUUAGGGAAGAACAAGUGCUAGUUGAAUAAGCUGGCACCUUGACGGUACCUAACCAGAAAGCCACGGCUAACUACGUGCCAGCAGCCGCGGUAA
rnacentral:rRNA from 1 species